GAGAGAGCAGCCAGUUUCCGGGUCGACCACUUUGAGCUCAGCAUUACGAACCACAUUGCCACACGAGCCCAAUUUCGUGGGUAAUGGCUGCUUUGCGAAAGAAGGUGACAUAGAUAAUACAGAACCCGCCUCGGUCAUGCCAUAACCCUACAUACAACAAUUACAAACACCAUUUUCAAAAGGGCAAAUGGCAAAAAGGCCCAUCACAUGGGACUUAAAUGCAUUUUGGUCCACAAAAAAAACAGUCUAUCAAUUAAGCCCAUCCCCAUGUCUUUAGUCUAAAAUACCCUCAAUAAUAUAAUUCUUAUCAAUUCCACCCAAUAUGAUCUAACUUCCUUAAUAUUACACAUUGACCCCGGAUUUAAACAAAUAUAUCACAUUAACCCCCAAAACUUUUUUUUUUCAGAAAAUAAUUUUUUUUCUGAAAUGUUUUUUUUCCGGCCAGAUUCCGGCGUUGACCGCCGGAGACCGCCGGUCUCCGGUCUUGACUUUUUUUUUUUUUUUUUGAAAUUUUUUUUCCGGCCGGUCAACCACCGUUGACCGGCGGUCUCCGGCGUUGACUUUUUNNNNNNNNNNNNNNNNNNNNNNNNNNNNNNNNNNNNNNNNNNNNNNNNNNNNNNNNNNNNNNNNNNNNNNNNNNNNNNNNNNNNNNNNNNNNNNNNNNNNNNNNNNNNNNNNNNNNNNNNNNNNNNNNNNNNNNNNNNNNNNNNNNNNNNNNNNNNNNNNNNNNNNNNNNNNNNNNNNNNNNNNNNNNNNNNNNNNNNNNNNNNNNNNNNNNNNNNNNNNNNNNNNNNNNNNNNNNNNNNNNNNUAUUAAUUAAAAUAAAUUUUUUUAAGGAAAAAAAAAAAAGUCAAUUAACAGUUAAAUUACUGUCUCCGACAGUUAAAUAACUGCUGGAGACAGUACUUUAGCAACGAAUAAAGUACUAUUAAUUAAAAAUAUUUUUUUUAAGAAUAAAAAAGUCAAUUAACAGUUAAAUUACUGUCUCCGACAGUUAAAUAACUGCUGGAGACAGUAAUUUAGCAACGAAUACAGUAAUAUUAAUUAAAAAUAUUUUUUUUAAGAAUAAAAAAGUCAAUUAACAAUUAAAUUACUGUCUCCGACAGUUAAAUAACUGCUGGAGACAGUAAUUUAGCAACGAAUACAGUAAUAUUAAUUAAAAAUAUUUUUUUUAAGAAUAAAAAAGUCAAUUAACAGUUAAAUUACUGUCUCCGAUAGUUAAAUAACUGCUGGAGACAGUACUUUAGCAACGAAUACAGUAAUAUUAAUUAAAAUAUUUUUGAAAAAAAAAAAACUGUCAAUUACUAGNNNNNNNNNNNNNNNNNNNNNNNNNNNNNNNNNNNNNNNNNNNNNNNNNNNNNNNNNNNNNNNNNNNNNNNNNNNNNNNNNNNNNNNNNNNNNNNNNNNNAAAAAAGGAGAAAGAGUUUUUCCAGACGGCAGGUCAGCGAGCCGAGAAGUACCUUCUAGCUUACCACCAUCUGCACAUUUAAAUUGAAAGGUGUUAAUAAUUUAAUGGUUGACCAUAAACUCGAGGCGGGCAUUUGAGACGUUUUAUAAUUCAGGGGACAAACCAGUACAAUCUUUAUAGUUUAGGGGUAUAAAUUGUACUUUGCCCUUAAUUGUAUGCAAUUCGUUAAUUAUCUAUUUUGGUGAGAAUAAGAGAUGGAAGUGGGAUUUAAACUUAUUUCCGCAUAGUUUGGAUGAGAUAAAUUACAAACAAAAAGAUAAUUAUAGUCGUUAAACGCAAAAGUAUCUAAAUAAGUCUUGAGUUUUGAAAACAAAUUAGUCCAAUGUGACAUGAGUUGCAAUAAUUUGAUUUCAUGAAAAUAUUUAUAAUCAAAGUCUAGUGCAUGGUGAUGCGAAUUACUUAAUUGUUAAAUUAAGUCUAAAAAUAGUGAUACAGUAAAAUUUCAAUAAUUUAAUAAUCUCGAUUAUAAUUUCUUUCGAUCCCAACUUAAUAAAAAUAGACUAAAUUUCUAGUUUAAUAAUUUAAUAUUCACUCAAUUAAUAAACUUUUAUUCGACAACAUUAAUUUAUGUGAAAUGCUUUUUGGGGUUAGAACUUAUCUAUUUGCAUUUCAUACCCUAAAAAACACUUCUCUUAACAAACCUCUCCCAUCUACCCCGAAAAAUCGAAACAUUUAAAAAAAAAAUCAAAAAAUUCGAAUUCAAGCAAAAACUAGCCAUUUCAUCGAAAUUUUGAGGUAUUUUCAACUCCUAAACGUUUUUAUUGCAUUGGGUAGGAAAUUUCAGUUGUAAUUUCAUCUUAAACAACCCUAUAAAUCAAACCCAACACAUGCAAAAGUGCAUUGUUGCGGAUUGUGGCAGUGUUUGGUAUUUCAAGAAUAACUUUCAAAUACGACCUCCAAUUGAGCUGAUUCAAGUGGACUUAGAUAUCUAAUUUCAAAAUCUGCAACUUUCGUGAAAUGCAAAAUUGUCAAAUUUGGGCUAAAAAGUGGUGAAAACAGUGUUUGAAGUAGACGCAGAAGCCCAGAUUGCGAUCCAGCCUUCCUGUAUCGCGAUCUGGGGGUCUUACAAAAGGCAUUUUUUAUCAGGACCCAGAUCGCGAGCCAACCUUCUUGUAUCGCGAUCUGGGGGUCUCACACAAGGUUUUUUGAUCAAGAACCAGAUCGCAAUCCACUAUUCCCGUAUCGCGAUCUGGAAAGGCGGUACGCAGUUUCCAAGGCUGCCAUAUCGCGAUCCAAGAAGCCCAGACCAUAUAUUUUUCUUUGUUUUCUUACUAUAAAUAGAAGGUCUGCUUUUUCAUUUUUAAAGCUCUCGACCUCUUCUUCGAUUUUUCGUCGGUUUUCGCCAGUUCUUCACGGGAAGCUUCGACUCGGGUUUUUUCAUAAGCUUUUCUUUACGUUUAGUUUUUGAUUUCUCGUGUUAUUCAUUUUGAUGCUAUGUUUCUAAUGAAGUGAGCAUUUUUUUAGGGAAAUGAAACCUUGUAUAUAUUGAUAUUGAUUUACAGUUCUCUGAUCUAUUUGUUGUUCUUUGAUUCUGUUUAUGUUUUCCUGUAUUAAAUGCUUUCGAUUGUUUGGCCAACAGUUGAAUUGAUUGUAAAUGGGGAUGAACUCGAGAGAGGAUUUCUCGUUUGAUUUUAGGAAAACAUAGCUCGAGUUGUAGAAACGGAGACGUGAUGCACCUCGGGUAGCCCUUAAGGACUUGACCUAAAUGCUCUCUUAAUAUCAGGUUCUGAACGGAGACGUCGGACUUGUGGGUAGAAUCUAACUACACCGAAGACAGGGGUUAGGGUAUUUUAGUGUAUGAGUUAGCGAAUAUAGAAUUGAUAUUAGAUUCGGAUUUGUAGAUCUUUAUCAAUAGCACACCGGUGGAUUUUACCCUAGAAGCCAUAACACGCCGGAAUUCCUCGCUUGUCUUGGCGGACCGUUGUUUUUAUUUAUUGUUUCUUUUUAGUUUCAUUUAUCCCAUUCUUUCGUUUGUCUAAAAUUUCGGGAUAAAUAGAUUGCUCUAAAAACCUAUAAUCUUCUAUUGUAUAUUCCGGAUUAGUAAUUCUUCUACAAGAGUGGACUUGUACUUGAAGUAAUCUAAAUUUACAAUCGAGAAACUUAGAAAAAAAGAAGAAGAGACAAUUUCUUCUCUUGAACGUGAAUAGGCGUGUACUCAUCAUUGUCUCUCUCAUCAACAUAAUCUCUAUUAUAUAUAGCACAAGGAAUUAGAGUCACACAUUAAUUCUAAUAUAUAAUAUUGGUUGAACUUUAUCUUCUCGAUUAAUUAGAAAAUCCAUUGGGCUACAAUAGGGAUUAUAGGAGAAAAUAUAAAUCGGACAACUAAUAAUUAAUUAAAUCCAAACUCUUAAAAUAAUUUAUUUCAUUAAUCAUUAAAUAUUUAUUUAUUUUCCACUACCAAAUAGUUAUUGAACUCCCGUUUAUAUUCUCAAAUAUUACAUUCGAGCUCCGAUCGAUCAUUACUUAAAUUCUCCCCACAUUAAGAUAUUUUAUAACCAUCAAAUAAUUUAUCACUGCUAAAUAAAUUAAAUGGUGUAUUUUCAUGAGUCUUACCCGCUUAUAACUUAUUUGAGUAUGUCGGAUACGAAAUCCACCUGGCCAGGACUUGGCAUAAAUAAAUCUUAUAAGCUACUCAAGGGUUAUUAUCAAUCUCAUAUUUCAGAGAUGUGGAUUCCUUUCGAUAAUUAAUUUCCACAUAUUAAUUCUUAAUGUAUGUACCCAACGCACCGGAGACCAUUUGACUCAAUAUAGGAAUUUCUCCCACUAUGACAUCAAAGUAGAGAUCAUCAAUUAAAUAUGUAGGUUAAUUAUCUAGGGAUUAAGAGAUUAAGUAACUUAAUGUCAACUAGAAAUAAUACAGUUUCAUUUUGAACAGUGAUGAAAUAAUUAUUUCACUUUGUCCGGUUCAACACAUGUCGGGUGUGCUAGCAUAAUAAGUCAAAACAAUAACUAUAAAAGUUAUUCUCUUUUUACUGAGAUCAAGACCAAUCAUUUAAAUAUUGUGCUACAAUAUUUUACCAAUGGAUCGUCCAUUUCCAUCUAGAUUGUGAACGUUUAUCUUUGUAUUCUAAACGAACUUUCAAAAUUGAUAUUUAUGUGCGCCGUAGCACACUAUUUCGAAUACUAUUAGAAUAUUAGACUAAUGCUUUUAAUUAAUUGACAAACAAUCAAUUAAAUGCAUUGAAUACCCUAGUGAAAAUUCUCAUAAAAUGGUACGAAACUAUUUUAUUGAUUCAAUAAUAAAAAUGUAGCUAAAAGCGAGACUUUUAGUCUGCUAUCCUAACAUAUGUCACAGUCACAAACCACAUCCAACCAUCUUAUAUGAAGACAACGAGGUAUUUACAUAUUUUCGUAUGAAUGAUGAGGUUGAGCACCUUGAGGGAAUUAUCCAUCCCAGUUCUGUAGAUACUUUUGCGCGUGAUGAGAGUGGAUGAAGAUGAUGGUAGAGGAACUUUACGAACAAAAUCAUAUCCACAUUGCUACUCCGGAUUUGAGUGUGAGCCAGGACACAAGUUUGAAAUUUGAGGUAGAGCUUACUCCAAAGCUUGAAUAUCUUAUGUACAAGUUUGAGUGAUCGGUAGGCAAGCAACCCAUUCCAGUCUCCUACCGACUAAUUUCCAAAGCAAACGAGAAGUUCCAUGGGAUGGAAUGAGCACUAUAUGAUUGCAAUCUUUUCCAUGAUACGAUUGCAAAGUAUGUGUCAAGAUUGAUGGAUGGAUGCGCAAUUUACAAGGUUUUGGAUUGGACAUAAUCCGUCCAAAUUGUGUCGAGCCGUCGACGGUAAAACAUGCGUUGAAUGGGAGAUAACCCAUUAUUUAUUUCUCGUCAUUUUUUUCUUCUUUGUUUUUGUCAUUUUUUGCAUUUUGUUUUUUUGGUUUAAAGCUAAAUUUCACCAAUUUUUCUUGAUUUUUAUCGGUAUCUCGUCCGCAAGGAAAGAAGAGUAAGAAGUCGGGAAGUCUAGACAACUCCGGCAAUUCGCCCUCGGUGCCAAAAUCCACGGCACCCUGUGCAACCAAAGAGCACUUUCGCAACCGUAUAACACUGAUCAAUCUGCGGCACGACUGUUCAUGGCCUAUUUCUUUCUCAUAUCUUUUAUUUUUCGCAUUGAGGGCAAUUCAUAAAUUUAAGUUUGGGGUGUGUUUAGCUUAUUCUCUUUUUGGUCUUUUGCAUGCAUAUCAUAUAAUUUAGUUUCAUUUAUGUAUUUUGAUUUCCGUAUUGGUGUUAUGUUUGUCACAUGCAUUUAUAUAGGAUCGAGUGUAAGUUGCAUUUUCGGAUUCUAUUGAAGCAGAGCAGUUAAUGAAUUAGUAGACUUGCUAGUUGAUUUUAAAAUUAAGGUUGUGCAUAGUCGGCAAUUAAUAAAUGAACCUUCCGACUGCGUUUCUACAACUUGUUUUGAGAGCCUUUCGAAUAUUUUACGAUUAAGCAUGAGCACACUUUUCUGAAGGGUAUAAUAGUCUGAGGUUUGGGGGUGAGUAAGAAUUGAACUAUGGUUUAUGGGUGAAAAAAACAAAUAUUUAAAACAUUAUUCAAUACAGUAAACUGCAAAAUGUACCCUUGUGUAAUCUCUAAAUAGCAAAAACCCCCAUGUGAUAAAUAAACUAGCAAAAACCCCCAUGUGAAAUUUAGUCAAAGGCAAAACCCCACCGGUUGACUUGUGUGUGGCUCACUCGCGGGUUGCGCGACUGGGAGUUGGUUUUUGGACAUGAAAUAACGAAAUUGACCUUUAAAAUGUAUUUAUAUGUAUAUAUAUUAUAUGUAUAUAUUUUUCUUUUUAAUUUGGUUGUUUAGAAAUUAAAAUAUUGUUAAAAAAUAGUAAAUAAUUAAAUUGAAAUUUUUUUAUAAAUUUGUUAAUCAAAUUAAGUAUAUAUUUUUUUAAAUACAUAAUAAUGAAAUUUAAGUUUUCUUUUGAUGUAUUUAAAAUAUAUUAAAAAAUUAUGUGAUAAUAAAAAUAGAAAUAAAUUUAGAAACCCCAUUGUACCUUUAUAACUAAGAUUUAACAAAGAUAAAAUAAUUAAAAUAUUUAAAAAAUAUAAGAAUUUAUUAAUUGCAAAAUCCCAGGGAUAUUUGGGUCUUUUAUUUGAAGUCAACCCUCAAAUGAGUAAUGAGUCUGUGUGCUAUUUAAAUAAUUUCACAGGGGGUGUUUUUUCUAGUUUAUUUAUCAUAGGGAGAUUUUUGCUAUUUAGAAAUUACACAGGAAUACUUUUUAGAGUUUACUCUUAUUCAAUAUAGGGUAAAUUACACCCACACCCCUGAGGUAUGCUUAAAUAACUUUAAGAUUCAUGUGGUAUCGAUAAUUACACUCACCCCUUGAAACGUAGUUAUAAACACUAAUGGGAUAAUUCAUCGGAUACGUUAUAACAAUAGAGUUCUAACGGACUAUUGGUUUCAGAAACUGAUGGAGACACAAAGAGUUAUGGGUGAUUUAAGAAAUAUUGAUGGAGCUAUGUCACCCCAUAACUCCCCAUAACUCUAUAUUAUCUCCACCACUAGCUAAAAAUAAUAGUCCAUUAGAACCCUAUCGGAAUAAUGUAUUCAAUGCAUUUUCUAACUAUGUUUCAGAGGUGAGUGUAAUUAUUGAUACCAUAGGAACCUUAAAAUUAUUUAAGCAUACCCCAGAGGUGUGGGUGUAAUUUACCCCUCAAUAUAAAGAAUCUGAAAAGAUUAGGUCGGGUUAAUUUUUCAAAUUUUCUAUUCUUGGAGAACAAGCUAGCACUCUCGGUCUUACUUAACAAGCACCCAAUUCCUUUCCGUCAAAAUUCCGUCGAAAUUUCUUCUCAAUUCCGUCAAAAUUUGUUGAAAAAACCCUAUCAAAAUCGAAACAAUGAAUUUCCUAAGACAAAAUUCUGUGAACAAGCUGCGAAUCCUCGCCCAAAUCGGCAGCCGUGCGAUCACAACCGCUCCGCCGCCGCUUGUUUCUGCACAUCAGCCCGCUCACCCGGUUGCCAUCGCUAUCCGACUCACCGACCAGCCGGCCGACCCUAUCACUAGGUAUUACUUGUAUUUCCUUUAUUUUAUUUUUUUUGGGUUUCGGAAUUUGUUAUAGUGCAUUUAUUUUUAAUUUUUUUUACUUGAUUGAUUACUUUUUGUGUGCUAAUUUGUUGAUUAUUGAUGCUAAUUGCUAAAUGACUGAUAAGUGGUACUGUGUUCAUAUAACACUCUUGUGAGCAACUAAUUUUUGCUCUUUUUACCUUUUGAUUUGAUUUUUUGAUUUGGUUUUUGUGCGCGAAAGGAAAAUAAAAAAAUUGUUAAAGAUAGCUUUGAACGGCUAUCUUUAAUUUAAAAUUUUAUAUCGAUUAUGAUUCGUAGUAAUUUCAUUAACGAUAUGACUUUCUUGAAGGUAUGAUAUCUCGCCGCCGGUAAAUUGGGGAUAUCUGACUGUGUCAGAUAUGAACACUUGCAUUAUCGAGCGAUUUGGCAAGUACGCAAAGACAUUAACUAAAGGAGCCCAUUAUCUGAUUCCGUUUGUUGAUAGAAUUGCUUACGUGCAUUCUCUGAAAGAACAAGCACUUUGUUUUCCUUAUCAACAUGCUAUUACCAAGGACAAUGUCUUAAUUGUAUUUGAUGGAAUCAUGUAUGUCAAGGUAUGUGUCAAUUUUUCAUUUUAAAAUUUGCCUAAAUGAUUUUCUUUUUGAAUGACCCUAUUCGAAAUGUAUUAUUUAGUAUUAAUAUCUCAAAUACGCCUCGUGAAUUACAUUUGAAGUCUUGCACUUAAAAUAUUUGAAAUGAGUGGUGGUGGGAUUCGAACUCAACACCUUCUAUUUGGUCUGCCUCUCAUAUCAUGUUAAAUGAUACAUUUCACUAACAACAUAAGAUUAUGUUAAAAUGAUACAUUUCACUAACAACUUAAGAUUUUGAUUGAGAUGAUCAUUCAAAGUGGUAUUAGAGCCAGAUCAAAUGAAAGGUCCUAGGUUCAAAUGUGUCACCCAUUUCAAGUGCAAGACUUCAAAUGUAAUUAGUUGCACUUGAAGGGACGUAUUUGAGAUAUUAGUAUUGAAUGAUACAUUUCAAUAAAAGCUUAAGCUUUUGGCUGAGGUGGUCAUUUAACACCAUAGUAGUUAAACUCGCGAGAUACCGCGAUAUGUAUCGUCGGUCCCAAUCAAAACGAUACAACUCAUGGUCUGUAUCGUUUGUGCAUAAAUAUCGCGAGAUAUCGUAUCGUAUCGCCAUAUCCGAUAUUUACGAUAUUAAUCAAAAUAUUAGGAAAAAAAAAUAAAAAGUAAAAGAAAAAAGAAGAAAACUAAAUAUUCACAUAAUCAGGAUGUGAAAACGGAUUUCAAUAUGAUUUAAUAUUCUUUUUUUACAUAUAUUAUGUCCAGAAAUGUAAACUUCAAGUUUGAUAUUGAGAUAUUGAUAAGAGAAAAAAGGGAACAAAAUUGAAGUGAUGAAGUUGAAAUGGAACAUGAGGAAUAGGGAUUUAAAUGAAAUUUUUUACCCGUUUAUAAUAUUUUUAUUAUGUAGUUAUAUAUAUUUUAUUACUUUUAAUAGUUGGUUAAAUAUUUACGAUACGAAAAACGAUACGAUACACAUACAAAAACGAUACGCCGAUAUUUUCCGAUUCAAUAACCAUGUUUAACACUUUUAAAUAAACAUUGACAUCUUUUUUUUUUUCGUGUUCUGAAGAUCGUUGACCCUCUGUUAGCUUCUUAUGGAGUUCUGAAUCCAUUGAAUUCUGCAAUUCAACUUGCGAUUGUAGUUGUGCAAACUGAGAUUGGUAAGAUCGUUGGCAAGAAUAUAUAUGUGGAAUAUAGCACACUCCACGAGAAGACAAUGGUGAGUAUUUGAUGCUUGGUGUUACUAGUUAGCUAGCUGAUUUUAUCUAUUUUUUAAACUUUAAUAUACAUGAGUUUAUUUGCAUGCAUGAUAUUUCCGUUUCAUUUGUUGCAGAUUUCAAUCAAUAAAGUUAUUAAAGAUUGGGGCUUAGAGUGCAUUCGUUGUGAAAUAAGUGAGUUUAUUUUUAUGAAAAGAAAUAUUCCUUUGUUUGAUUGGUUAAUCUAUCUAUCGUUGAGGGUUUAUGUUUGUUGUCUUAUAUGCAUCUUUGUUUUACUUCUUCUCCAAAUUCAGUGUCGAUGGAGAAGGUGACAAUGGAGACAGAGGCUGGUAAAGUCUUAUCUGAUGGUAAUGGGUUCGUUUCCUGCUACUUAUGUUGUUAGUUUGCAUUUUUCGUUCAUUGUAAUGGAAGCUCGCAUGCAGGAUAUAAAAUUCUUUUUCAAGCCUAACGUGUGUCAACUUUGAAUUUGGAUAACGCGAUUUAUAUGAAAACUUGUAGAAUGACAACUCUGUUCGGAAUUUAUUCUUUUAAACAUGUGGAAUUACAUUAUAAUAGAAGAUUUCGUUGUUGUCGUAAGAUCCAUACAAGUCUAUGUGGGUAUAGAGGGGAGGUUCUUCACCUCUUUAUCUAUUUAUAUACUUACGUACUUGUACGAUGUCUUGUAUUUGCAGGUUGCUGGUUUAAAAACUGUCGAGGACCGUGUUGACUUUUUCAAGAAAAUUGAGCUUCUUAAGGGCAUCUCCAAAGUGGAGAGUUAAAACCACGGAUGCUAUAUCUAUUCUGGCUCUUCAAUAGUGUUAUAGCAACUCAAUUUUUACUAUCUUCUCCAACCAUAUCAUUUAUAUUUUAGCAUUUUAUUAUAUUUUAUUAAUUUUCAACUAUUCUAUUAUAAUAGUUGUGUGUAAUUAAUUUUUUUUCCCCUUAUAUAUGUACAAUAGAAAAUAAACAAUUAAACAAAAAUUAAAUAAAUAAUUAAUAUAUAUAUAUAUUCUACAAAUAGUUUUAAUCGAAUUUACAUACAUCAAACAUACUUAAUAUAAGAAAAUUCAAGUUUAAAUAACCAUAAAAAAAGAAAAAAAUGACGUAAAUUAAAAAUACAAAAUACACUUAAUUUAUUUUGGUUUUCACUAUCACUUUAGGUCCGUAAUUUAUUUAUUUGACUUUAAUUAUUACCAUUGUUUGUGGGAUGGUGGGGUUAUGUAAUAUUUUAAUGUUUUUGUCAUAUACGGUAUACCAUACGUGAAUAGUAGCAGGUAUAUAUACCAGCUCCAUCUUAGGUUUUAGCUGGUGAGCAAUAUUAUAGCUCUCCCGCUGGAGCAUGAAUUUUAGUUCAUAAACGGUAAAAUUGUAAAAUUAUAGCAUUUAGCACUCCAAACACCACAUGAUUGGAGAUGCUCUAAUAUGUGCUUUGCUUUUUAAUCUGAAAACGCUUCAAUUUUAGUAUUUUACAAUCGAUAAGUAUCCUAGAAAUAGGAUAAACUUUGAUUUGUUGAAAAAGCAAUUAAAUUAGCCACCAAAAUAGUACAAACAUUAGGUGAUUGUCAGCUAUAUACAAUUCGAAUAAUUUUUAUACUUAAAAGGGUUAAAUACAAAAACACCCCUGUACUAUGAACUUUGUAUCAUAUAUCCCUGUAUUACAUAUAAAUACAAAAACUUCCCUGUUGUUAUAUUUUUUUCCAAAAUCUGACAAAAAUACCCCUGCUAAAAUUAUAAAUGUAUGGGUUUGUUUGAGUCAUUUUCCACUAUAUUUUUUAACAUUUUCGGUCAAUUUUACUUGGGAAAUUUUGAUAUUUUGAUAUUUUUCUUCAAAACCUUUAAUUACAUAGAUUUUUUUUUUAAUUUCCUGAAUAAAACCUUUUACUUUUAUGAUUUUGAAUUUAUUCAUUUUUUUCUUAAAUGUCUUCCGGUACGUUUUGUGUAAACUUGUACGAAACAUACAACAUAAACAGUUUACUGUAUGUUUUGUACUAGUUUAUACGGCAUAUGAGUCAACAUUUCAUAGUGUUUUGUACAAAAUUAUUGGUAAACAUGUAUAUGAUGUUAAUUUCAUACAGAACACCAUGAAAUCCAUUGAAGAAUUUCGUGAUAUUGUACACGAAAAGACUAAAAUCGAAAAAAAUAUAAGACAAAAACGUAAAUUUUUACCUCAUUAACGGGAUCGAUGUUGGUCAUCUUGAUAAUUGUUGGGUUCUAACUGAUUGUAACGAAAACAAAUCACGAUCUACAAAAGUCGGUAUAUUUAGAGGUUGAAAGGAUUUCGAAAAAGGUUAAAUGAUUUCUAGACAAAUGAAUUAUUUCGCGAACACCUUUUGAUUGACGGAAUCAAUUAUUAAGCUUAGGUUUCCACUGUCCAAACCUAGAUCGAGAGACUCGUUUUUGAGCUUGCUUGCGCUGCAUUCUUCUGAGUCUCAAACUGCCUCCGAAUUUGUCUUCUCUAGUCAACUCGUCACCUACCACAUUGCAUGAGGUCCCUUCAUCGGCCUGCGAAUCAAUAUGUAACGAUCGAACAUCUCUUCAUCGCAAACUUUUCAUUAGCAACCUUAGCCUAUUCGGGAUUUUUCCUUAGCGGUUUGUUGUCCCAAUUUCAUCCCUCCACUUUUUAUCCUUUGAUAUUUGGCCCAAUGGAUUCAUUCAUUCAUCUUUAGCAUAUUGGCCCGACCUUGCCAAAUUAGGCCCUCAUCAACACUAAUAUCACCAUACACUAGUCGUAUUCAAUCAACGGCGAUUUCGGGCUCCACUAGCUUAGCUGAAGAAUUCUCAAGGAAUUAAAAAAAUAAAAUUUGCUAUUAAUUAAAAACGUGACAAGUCACGCUUUUCAACGUAAAAUUGUUUGGAAUUGUUUUGAGAGUUAUUUUUGUAGAAUUAUGAAGAAUCACAGAGAAUUCAUUUUGAGUUUUUAGAGAAAAAGAGCAGUUGUAUUUCAUUGAAGAAGAAUUUGUUACAUGGAAAAAAACUCAAUGAGCUGAAUUUAAUAUUUAUACAUGUGGACAAAUAAAUGAAAAAUUGCUAUAGCUUAUACAGUUAUACACAUGGUUGUCAAAUCGUAAAUCGAAUCGAAAAUCGUUUUGUCAAAUUUGCGAAUCGUAAAUCGUAAGAUUUAUUAAAUUUCAUUAAAAUAUUAAUAUAUUAAAUAAUGUACACAUAUUUAUGAGACAUUGUAUAAUAUUAACAACAAUAUAUAUAUAUAUAUAUAUAUAUAUAUAUAUAUAUAUAUAUAUAUAUAUAUAUAUAUAUUGUUGCAUAGAAAUCUACAAUUAAACUACAAGGUUAUAUGAUUAAUAUGCUAAUAUUUAAAAUUUUAUAGUAAAUGGACUAUACAAAAAUUUAACACAAUAAAAACAAAAAGUUUAAUAUCAAAAGAAUUUCAUUUAAUUUGUAGUAUUUGUCAAUGCAUGGCAAUUGACGUGUGUCCGAGUAAAUCAAAUAUAACAUUGAAAAAAAAUAAGAAUAAAACUCUCUUGAAUAUACCUGCUACUUUAUAAUGUUAUUAGAGUUGCAAAGUACAAUAAAAAUAUUAUUAAUUUAAAAAAAAUACAAUUGCAGAUGAACAAUAUCAAAAGAAGAAAAAAUAGUCAUUAUAAGAUGUAAAGUGUUGGUAUUACGAGGAAUUAUCAUAUAUUAUAUUAUUUGUACUUCAAAUCUAAUAUUUUAGCACAAUUUUUAAUUUUAUUCUGAAAAUAUAUUUUUUUGCUGAAAAUUGUCCAAAUCGUAAAAAUCGUAAAAAUCGUACAAAUCGAAUCGUAAAUCGUACAAAUCGAAUGCAAAUCGUACGAUUUUUUAAGAUUUACGAUUUAUUCAACGAUUUGAAUCGUGAAGGAUUCAAAUCGAAUCGAAUCGUACGAUUCAAAUCGUAAAUCGUACGAUUUUGAUAACAAUGGUUAUACAUACUAGCAACAUAAAAAGGAUAAUUAUAGGAACUUAGACGCAAUAUCUAAUAUUUUUCAAUUUUUUUUGGCGAUAUAUGUUUUGAGAGUGAAACUAAUAUUUAUUUAUUAUCUGAGGGAAACAAAAUACGCUGUGACAAUCAAAUUAUAUUUAAAUGUAUGUUGGAAAACGUAUUUUAUAAGAAGAGUAUGAACAAAAAAUAAUGUUUUUUUGUUUUUUGUCAAUAUGUUUUUUAGGGUUACAGUCAAAUCUUUCUAUUGUAACAGUUAAAUUAUGUGUAGAGGACAGAUAAACUUUUCAAAUUGUAAUGAUAAUUAUUUUUGAAACGCUAAACAAGAGUGGAGAAAAAAAAUGGAAUGGAAACGGAAAACAAAUGUAAUUGAUAUUAAUUAAUAAUAUUAAUAAGGGUACAUUACAAUCCCCUGAGGUAUAGUUAAGUUACGAAAACCUCUUUCUGUUUGGGUAAUUACAAUCACCCAUCAACUAUAAAUUUUCUUACAGGUCCAGUCUCGAUUUCAAAUUUAGUGGAAUUUUCAAGAUUAUAUUGAAUAUUAUUACUUUUGUACCCGUUUUAUCCCAUUCGAACUCUAUAUUUUGAAGUAAGAUGAUCAUAAUAUGUGUUUUUUGACUUGUAUAUAUUAGAUUGUGGUGCAUCGGAAACUAUAUUCAACACAAAAUGAGUACAAACUAGAGCAUAUUUCACGAAAUCUAGAUGAUUAUUGUUGAAUUUGACACCAUAAAGAGCAAGAAAAAAACAUAGUUGAGGGGUAGAUAUAAUUAUACAAACAAAUGAUUUUUUUCAUAAAUUGUUGUAAUUUACCCUAUGCUUGUGGCUAUAUGCAAUACUAAUUCCACUUGUGCAAGACCAAAUUAAAGAAAGAUUCCAAAAGAUUCAAUUUUAUUAAGAUGAAAUGACAAAUAUACCCAUAAAUUAAAUUGGCUUUUGUUGCUCAUGCAAGACCAAAUAACAAAUAAUGGGGAAAAAAACAAAACCGAUACUAAUAGAAGAAAACAAAGAAAACGUGAAAUUAAAAAAACCCAGCCCCACUCCACUGUGAAACUCUACCCUACACCCAAGCUCCCCCGCCAAAGCUCCGCCGCCAACCGCCGCACUUGAUGCGACGUUCUUGAUGUCGUGUACAAAUUUUUGAAACCUUCGGUGAAUUUGGACAAUAAACUUCGUCUUAGCAUUCGCCUUUUGCUAUAAAAAAAUAAAAUGAAUAUUGAAAUAAAACGUAAUUAGAAAAUAGAAAGUUAAAAGAAUAUGAAACAACUAAAUUUCGACAUUAAUGUGUUGAAUAUAUGUCCAUAAAUCGACACCUUAAUGUCGAAAUUUAAUAUAUUUGGACUAAUUCGCUAAUAGCUAAAUUUCGACACUAAGGUGUCGAUAUUGUACUCCAAAAUUGACAUCUCAAUGUCGAUUUUUACUUAUAAAAUUCGACCUGUACAUGUCGACCGUGUCUGUGCGAGAUUGUUCUUUGAAAAAAAUGAUAUUCUAGCUAAAAAACACAUAAAUGCAUAUUUUCUUGGGUUCUUCCACCGUAGAAUCUUCUAUUUUGGUGUCUUCUUACUACAUACUUGUCAUCUUUGUAAGAUUUGUUGAGUUUUAAUGAAUAUGAAUGUUUAGGUUGUGGGUUUAUGAAGCAUGAAGAAGAAAGGUUUUGGGGGUUUUGGAAGAUGGAGAAGAUGAGAGUUGGUCUUGUGGUUUUGUGAUAGAAUUUUUUUGUAUUUUUGAGUUUUUAGUAUUGCACAUUUGGAAUGUUCUAUUUUUUUAACAAGUAAGGAUAUUAUAGUAUAUAUACAUUGAAAAUUUUAAUUUAAUCUUGCACAACUGGAAUUAGUUUUGCAUAUAGCCGCAUGCUUACUCUAUUAAUCAUUAAAGAUCAACAGAUGUGGCUUUUAAUUUCAAAGUUGGGCCUGAGCCCAUAAAUGAAAGAAGGCUAGAUUAAUCAGCCAAUUAAAUAAAAAAUGUCUGGGGCCCAUCUCUUCGAACAUGCAUUUUUCUUUAUUUAAUUUAACACAUAUAAAGUUCAGCUCGAAAUAAAAAAGUCAGUAGUAAUAAUUAAUAAAUGUGUUUGUAAAUUGUAAAUAACGAAUAAUUCUUUAAUGUAAAAAUUUAAAAUUCUACUACAUUGAUCACUUACACUAAUAUUUAUAUAAAUCAAAACAGACACGCAAACGAGAUCGCGGAUAUUCAACACUAUAUAUAUAUAUAUAUAUAUAUAUAUAUAUAUAUAUAUAUAUAUAUAUAUUGCAAUUUAUUGAUUACUAACCAUGGCUUCUCCAAAAAAUAACAUAUAUUUAAUUUAAUUAAAUAAAAUAUAUUACACUUCAAACAAUUAAUGUGAGAAUAACAACUAACAAAAAAAAAGAAGCAGAGUUGAUGAUACAAAUGUUCAGUUUUCACCUGCGUCUACUCCGGAGAUCUCAUCACAGUCACACGAUUUAUACAUUCCGCAAGACGAUAUUUAAAUAAAUAAUACACGACGAGGCAGUAAGUAGUAGUACAAUAUUAAUUUCAUCUCAAGAAAAAAAUAAUAAUAAUAAAUUACUUUAAAAAUAAAAUUUAUAUAUGUAGUAAUAAUAAUAUUAAUGAAUGUAAUGAUCAAGAAGAAGAGGAUGUUGGUGCUGCAAGUUUGGCUCUCAAAUCUUUCCUCAAAAUUUUACCAGCUGGUGAUUUCGGAAUUGCAUGAACAAAGUACACUUUGUGCAAUCUCUUGUAGAACACCACUUGUUUCGACACAAAUUCUUUUACCGUUUCUUCCGUUAGUUCGAACCCAUUCGACGGGACCACAAACGCCACUGGUACUUCACCCGCGGCCUCAUCUUUUUGCCUGUUUCAUUUAAAAACAUUCAAAUUUAAUUUCAUCUAUCGAUAAAAUCGACUUUUUUUUAAAGAAAAAAAGAAUAUUUUAAUGAACUUACGGGACAACUGCGGCAUCAGCAAUAUUCGGGUGGCUUAUGAGAAGAGCCUCCAGCUCAGCUGGUGGCACCUGCUCGAAGAAAAUAAAAGUUAGUAAAAAUUUGAUUAAUUAAUCUGAAUUCUUAACAAAAAUAGAAAUAAAAAAAUCCCUCCAAAUUAAAUUGGGUAAAUUAAUUAAUUAAUUAAUUACCUGAAAGCCUUUGAAUUUGAUGAGUUCUUUAACUCUAUCUACAAUGAAAACAUCAUCAUCAUCAUCUACGAAGCCAAUGUCGCCGGUGUGUAGCCAUCCAUCCACGUCGAUGGUUCUAGCGGUGGCCUCAUCGUCGUUCAAAUACCCUGAAACACAAUAUUAUUUAUAUUAAUUACAAAUUAUAUAUAAAUUUUCGAAUAACGUUAUAAAUUAAAAUAGACGAACAAUGUAUUAAUUAAUAAUAAUUAAAUGUAUGUAGUACAGUACCUUUCAUGAUUUGAGGUCCACGUAUGCAAAUUUCACCGGGCUGGUUGCGAGGGAGAGAGCAGCCAGUUUCCGGGUCGACCACUUUGAGCUCAGCAUUACGAACCACAUUGCCACACGAGCCUGAUUUCGUGGGUAAUGGCUGCUUCGCGAAAGAAGGGGACAUAGAUAACACGGGACCCGCCUCGGUCAUGCCAUAACCCUACAUACAACAACAAUUACAAGCACUAUUUUAAAUUAGUAACUUAGUUUAAAUGUAUGCAAUUAAUUAAUUAUCUAUUUUGGUGAGAAUAAGAGAUGAAAGUAGUGGGAUUUAAACUUAUUU
rnacentral:lncRNA from 1 species